AUUGAACGCUGGCGGCAGGCUUAACACAUGCAAGUCGAGCGGAGCGAGGGUGCUUGCACCUUAGCUUAGCGGCGGACGGGUGAGUAAUGCUUAGGAAUCUGCCUAUUAGUGGGGGACAACAUUCCGAAAGGGAUGCUAAUACCGCAUACGCCCUACGGGGGAAAGCAGGGGAUCUUCGGACCUUGCGCUAAUAGAUGAGCCUAAGUCGGAUUAGUUAGUUGGUGGGGUAAAGGCCUACCAAGGCGACGAUCUGUAGCGGGUCUGAGAGGAUGAUCCGCCACACUGGGACUGAGACACGGCCCAGACUCCUACGGGAGGCAGCAGUGGGGAAUAUUGGACAAUGGGGGGAACCCUGAUCCAGCCAUGCCGCGUGUGUGAAGAAGGCCUUUUGGUUGUAAAGCACUUUAAGCGAGGAGGAGG
rnacentral:rRNA from 1 species